GUCAUUAUGGAUAGUCUAGUGGACAUGGCAUCUGUCCGGUAAGCGGAACAUUGUGGGUUCGAUUCCCAUCCCUGGACA
rnacentral:tRNA from 1 species